CUACGGGGCGCUCCAGUGAGGAAUUUUGCGCAAUGGGGGGAACCCUGACGCAGCAACGCCGUGUGAGUGAAGAAGGCCUUUGGGUCGUAAAGCUCUGUCAACUGGGAAGAAGUUACUAUGCUUAAAUAGAGUGUAGUAUUGACGGUACCAGUGGAGGAAGCGUCGGCUAACUCCGUGCCAGCAGCCGCGGUAACACGGGGGACGCAAGCGUUAUUCGGAAUUAUUGGGCGUAAAGGGCGCGUAGGCGGUCUUGUCGGUCAGGUGUGAAAGCCCGGGGCUCAACCCCGGACGUGCACUUGAAACAGCAAGACUUGAGUACGGGAGAGGAAAGCGGAAUUCCUGGUGUAGAGGUGAAAUUCGUAGAUAUCAGGAGGAACACCGAUGGCGAAGGCAGCUUUCUGGACCGAAACUGACGCUGAGGCGCGAAGGCGUGGGUAGCGAACGGGAUUAGAUACCCGUGUACUC
rnacentral:rRNA from 1 species